GCCGAACAGCUAGCCCACAAAACUAAUAACAACAUAAUAAAUAUAUAUAACCCCUAAUACACUAAAGCCUAAAUUAAACAAACCAUUUUUCCUCCCUAGUAUGGGCGACAGAAAAGGACUAAAGGAGCUAUAGAGAAAGUACCGCAAGGGAAUGCUGAAAGAGAAGUGAAAAAACCCAGUAAAGCACAAAAAAGCAGAGCUAAACCCUCGUACCUUUUGCAUCAUGAAUUAGCCAGUAUAAACCAAGCAAAGAGUACUUUAGUUUGAUACCCCGAAACUAAGUGAGCUACUUCAAGUCAGCCUAAUACAGGGCAAACCCGUCUCUGUGGCAAAAGAGUGGGAAGAACUUCAAGUAGCGGUGACAGACCUAUCGAACUUAGUUAUAGCUGGUUGCCUGGGAGACGGAUACAAGUUCAGCCUUUCGGCUUCUCCCCUCAAACAACAACAUUUUCCGACAAAGAGAAACCGUGAGAGUUAGUCAAAGGGGGUACAGCCCCUUUGACCAAAGAUACAACUUUUUCAGGCGGGUAAAG
rnacentral:rRNA from 1 species